rnacentral:rRNA from 1 species
AAAAAGCUCGUAGUUGGAGUUCAGGGUGAGCUCAGCUGGUCGGCCUAAUGGGUCAGAACUGGUUGACUCUCCCUUGGUUGUGGAUCCCUCCGGAGUUAAUUCUUCGGGUGUGGAGUCCACAUCGUUUACCUUGAAAAAAUUAGAGUGUUCAAAGCAGGCGUUUGCUUGAAUAUAUUAGCAUGGAAUAAUGGAAUAGGACGCUGGUUCUAUUUUGUUGGUUUUGAGAACCAGAGUAAUGAUUAAUAGGGACAGUUGGGGGCAUUCAUAUUUCAUUGUCAGAGGUGAAAUUCUUGGAUUUAUGAAAGAUGAACUUCUGCGAAAGCAUUUGCCAAGGAUGUUUUCAUUAAUCAAGAACGAAAGUUAGGGGAUCGAAGACGAUCAGAUACCGUCGUAGUCUUAACCAUAAACUAUGCCGACU